AGUAGGUGUCCAUAUAACAAUAAUUUAUGAGCUGUUUCAGUAAAAUAAUCUAUGAAAACAUUUAUUUAUCAAUUACAACAGUUAUUAAAUCCCUCAAUUUCCCCCCUUUUAUUUUCAUAACCCGCUAAAAGCAAAAAAAAAUUCAAUUUUUUUCCAAUUGCUGCGCUGAAGAUGAAGAUGUUAGAUUCAUAUCUUUAGCUGCAAAUUUGAUUCCUGGAAAGUGAUUAGGCCAAUUCUUCCGAUUGCUUGGUGCAGAUCUGCAGACGGCGUCCUUAAUUGAUAGCUCUAUCUCAUAGAUAUAAUUGAAUCUUCUAACCUGUUGAAAGUUCUGAUGAAAAAAGAUCCGUGAUUGUGGGUGUUCAAAUUCUGAGUGAAGGGGGCUGUGUUGGAAAUUUCUCAAGAGAACAGGUAGAGCUUUUCUGUGUGAAUUAUCUAAUAAAUUUCUCACUGGAGUCGAUAGAAGAAUUUAUCUGCAUGGAGUUUCGGUUUACUUUGCGAGAUAAUGCAAUGCGUGCUGCCUUCCAGUUACUUCAUAUGGUGCUUGAGGUAAUUUCAACGAAAACAACAUGUUAAGUAGUUCAUACUAUUAUAAUACUAAAUACACUUUGAACAGUUAUUUUCAAUGUUGCUUUUUAUCUCCCGCUAGUUUUCCUGGAAAAAAAAUAUCGCCUUUCGACAAUACUUAGAUGAAAAAUGACAAGUUCACCCUGAAAUGUUGCCAAGGUUUUAUUGCAAUUAUUGGGCUAGUAUAUCAGGAAUGUUUUAUUUUCUUACUUGAAACUUUACGAUGACAUGUUCAAAGUUAUGAUUUUUUAGUUGAGUUGUGUGUGGCCAUUGUGCCAAUCAUCCGUACAAUUGAGAACACUAACUUGCUAUUUUGUUGUUAAACAAUAUUCUCACUAAAAUUAAAUGUGUAUGCUAUGCAACAUAGCAUUUGAUUGGAUGAUGCAUUUGACCGAGCUAAACAGUUGUACAUGUCAUAUUAUCGCUCUAUCCCUAAGAGUUUAGAACGCUCAACUGCCCAUAAGCUCAUGCUAGCUAUGCUAAAUGGAGAUGAGCAUUUUGUUGAGCCAACUCCACAUUCAUUGCAAAGCUUAACUCUGGAAAGUUAAGAGUAGCUGUAAUGGAUCAAUUCGUCACUGACAACAUGGAGGUGAGCUUUAUAUUCUUUACAAAAAGAAUUUCAAUAGGUUUUAUUAGUUAACCUCAAUGUAGCAUAUCAUUAUCUAUAUCCUGCACAUCAUUGUGUUAUAUUAACCUCAAUGCAUGUACUUCCUUGUGUUGUAUUAACCUCAAUGCAUGUACUUCCAUAACUGAUUCAUGCAUAUACAUUUUAGUAUUGAAAUGUGUUAAGCUACAUUUGAUGUAUGCGUGUGAUACUUCAUUUGGUAACAAUAUUGUCCUGUCACUUUGCUACAGUAUCUCUAGAUUUGACGUUGUGGAAAUAAAAAUGGCAGAAUGCACCAAUUUUUUAGCUUACAAACUUCAAAUUCUGCAUAUAGGAGGCUGCAAAGGCUCUAAAGUGUAAGAGGUGUCCCUCACACCACAGAGUUUGUGGAUCUGCUUGCUGCUUUAUCUAGCAUGAGUCUUUUUAAUGGUAUGUUAGAUAUAGAUCUCUCUCAGACUGGACACGAUGCUUGUCACCAAAUAAUAAUCUUAUACGAUGUUUGUCACCAAAUAAUAUUCUUACAUUUUUACAGGUAGUCAGAAUAGUGCUAAGCAGCAUGCAUAUCUGAAAAGAUCAAAAUCUGCACAGUUUAGUAUAUCUUCUAAAUCUCACUCUGCAAAAGGACCAUAUGCUGACAUUGCUACCGAAAAUAGUGCAUGGUCAGACCUUAACAGUUCAUUCGAACCUCCAAGAGGGUCUGCACAAAUAUGCCUUUGCCUCUAAUAAUUCAUAGGUCAAAGGAUCUUAAACAUCCACAUUAAAUGGUGGAGGUGGUGUGCUUUCUCAAUAUCCGCAUAUGGAUAGUCCUUCCAAUUAUGGUUUAGGUAGUCAUUCCGUCAAUCCAUUAACAGGCCACCAUGGCAACUAUAAUCUGCCUCCUUUGUUUGAAAAUGCUGCUGAUGCGUCUGCAAUGGCUCUACCUGGAUUGGACUCUCGAAUGUUCAAAAGAAGUUUAACAAUCUAAGCAACAAUGUUAUAUAGUUACUGGAGAUUAUAUUUUCUCUGCCAGUGACUGAUGUGUGAUAUAUGGCUUCUUAGGCGAUAGAAGUAGUCGAUGUGGACCAGUAGAUUAAAAUGGUUGAGGAGAUGGUCAUGUCAUGCGCUGUGUACGAGAUCAGAAUGGGAAUCAUGUCAUCCAUAAGUGUAUAAAAUGUGUACUAGAAGAACACAUACAAUUUAUUGUCUCUACUUUUUUAAUCAAGUUGUAAAUCUCUCCACCCAUCUAUAUGGCUGUCGUGUAAUUCAGAGAGUAUUGGAACAUUGCAGUGAUCCAAUGACUCAAAGUAAAGUGAUGGUAGAAAUUUUGGGAUCUGUUGGCAUGUUGGCACAAGAUCAAUAUGGCAGCAUGUACUGGAGCAUGGGAAGCCACACGAGCGUUCUACUAUUAUUAAGAAACUAGCGGGGAAGAUUGUGCAAAUGAGCCAGCAGAAGUUUGCAUCUAAUAUUGUUGAGAAGUGUUUAGCAUUUGGCGAUCCCAACGAAAGACAGCUCUUGGUGGACGAGAUGCUUUGCAGGUAUCAAUGAGAUUUCUCUUUUGCAGGUAUCAAUUUUCAAAAACUCUCCUCCUUUGCAGGCAUCAAUGAGAUGUCUCUUUUGGAGCUUAUCUCUCAAACACAGAAUAAGAAGUCUUUGUUUGAGGGAAACACAUCUUGUUGACAAUUCUCUGUAUAAAUUUUCAAGAUCAUCACUGAAAAUGCUUAACGUAUCUGAUACUAAGGUGUGUAGGUAGUCCUGGAAGAACUUGAAGUUUGCUUUCUCCAAUUUUUUCUGGAAAGUAUGUGGAUUUUUAUGUUAUCAGUUUGCUCUAGGGAAUAAGCUGUCUCAAGUCCAUGGGAACUCACUAGGUGGAGAAAAUGAAGCAGCGAAUGACGAGCACAUUGAAGAUUGUUAAGAAGAUAUUAGAUGGUUUUUGUAAUUUGUUUUAGGAUAUUUUUUAUAUUGACAACAACCCAAUGAAACUUAAUCGAUUUUCUACUCUUUUGGAUAUUAA